GUGCUCCAAAUUAUGAUACAAUGGGAACCAAAAGGCCCAGCUGCACCCUCUUUGACACAUCUAACAUAAACACAUCUGACCGCAAACUUCAGCCAGGUGGAAAAAUCUCCCGGGAUCCAAGUCCACGGCCAGCCAUGACUGCCCAGUCGGAGCGAGAGAGAGACGCCAGGCGGGAGGAAGACCGGAGGAGGGAAAGAGAAGUUGAGAAAACGAGGGACAAAGCGAGAUACAGAGAUAUGGACCCACGGGAGAGAUACUACGAAAGGGACAGAGGUACUGCACCGCGGUCUAGAGAGGGAGAACGAGAUAUGAGGGUGAGAGAGAGGUGGCAAGAAGAUGACAGGAGCAAAAGCGGGAGGCCGCUGUCGAACAUAGAGAAGCUAGCCGAGAGAGAGGUGGAGAGGGGCAUGAAAAAAGGCGACACAUUUCCUAGAAUAAGGAAAAGCAGCCCAUAUCGGGACAGAACAAUGACGGCCACCACGGAGAUGGGUAAGGAGAGGAGGCAGAGAAGAGUAGAGACCGACGAAAGAGAGAGGGCACGGCAGAGAGAGUGGUUCAGAGAGAGGGAGAGAGAUGAGAUCCGAAGCAGGGCAGCAGAAGAGUGGAAAAGAAGACCUGCAGAGGAAGAGAAAUCACGACAGAGGGAAAGAUAUGAGGAGUAUGAUGUUAGCCGUCAAGACAGAAGAGAAGCGGUUGAUUCAUGGGACAGAAGAGAGAGGGAUGUGGAUAGAAAAAGGGAAAAACUGAGGCCUAACAUGGGGGAGAGGGAGGCCAGGGUGCAUUCUGCGCAAAGGAGAAGAGACAGAGAGAUCCACUCAGACAGGAGGGAGAGGGGCAAGAGGGACACCAGGAGUGAGGGAGACAGUGACGAGAGAGAGCUGAAGAGAGAGAGAGCGAGAGACAGAGAGAGGGAGGAGUUGACAUAUCAACACAGCAGAAGCGAGGGUGACAACGGGGGCAUAACAGAGAGGGAGAGAGAUCGAGAUAGGCGAGGAGACAGGGAAGAAGAUAGGCAGAGAUACAGAGACAAGGAUAGAGAAAGAGAGGCAGACCGAUCCAGGAGGAGGGGAGUCGAGAAAGAGGAGAGGUACAGGGAGGAGGAAAGGUGGAGGGAAAGUGUGAGAGAUGUGAAGGAUGACAGGAGAGAGGACGACAGAAACAGAGAGUACAAGCAGAAGAGAGGCAAGGACAGAGAUCCUAGGUGGGAUGAUUCAACAGGCAAAGGCAGCCGACCCCAGAGUGAGAUGGCCCCUAGGGUGCCUCCGCGAGCCCAAAGCAGCGGAGAGUGGAGCACCACUGAGAGUGACAGAGAUGUAGAAGAACAGAGAGCUGCUGAAAGAAGUUGUAGGGAGAAAAAGCGGGGUGAGAGACAAGAAAGAGACAGAGGAGAGAUGAGAGGUGGUGUGCCAGAGCAGAGGAAGAUGUGGUUAGAGCCACAGAGGGGCAGGAAUAGUAAAGACGAGUUUGUAGACAGAGAGAGACAGACGAGGGGCAAUGAGAGGAGGAGAGAAGAAGAGAGGAAUAUGGAGACAUGGGCUGAGCGGGGAAGGGAGGGGGGGAGAGUAAAAGAGGAACCAAAUGAGAGGUACGGAGGAAGGCAUGGAGGGAGAAGUGAGUGCAGGGGUGAUGUAGAGAGGGAGUCAGAGGGUGUGAGUGUAGAUGGAGAGGAGGUGGGUGGCGCCUGGAGAGAAGUAGAUAAAGGAGGGGAGGAACAGCUGUCUGACAACGAUGGAAGGAUAGAGGGAAACCGGCAGAGGGAUGUAGAGGGACAAAACCUGACAGAUAACACUGAGGAGAGUGACAGAGAGGAAGAGGGAGGGAGCGAUUACUGGGUCCGCUCUGAGAGCGAAGGAGGAAGUGAGAUGGGGUGGAAGCAAGACAGGGACAGAAUGCUGUCAGGAGAGGACGGCUUUGUAACCGUGUCCAGCGGCGGAGAUGAGGAAGACGAAAGAGAGGAGGAAGAAGAAGAAGAGUUUAAGGACUGUCAGGAGUUUUGGGAAGUUGCACAUGGUGACGUCCAGUGGCGGGAGGCAGAUGACAAGAGGGAAGAGGAACGGACAAUGGGAAAGGAGGAGACGGUUGAGGAUGACGAACAGGGGAGGGAAAAGAAGUACGUCUUCUGUGUGAUUGGGCAAACGUUGCCCCGGUCAAAGAAGUCACUGUCACAAGAUGAACAGACGAUGGGAGUGGAAAGAGACAACCCAAACUUAGAAAAUUAUGACGCCACACUGCAACCUCAGGAUAACCUGCAUCCAACACAAAGUAGAGAUGAUGAAUACCCAAUCAUCAACAACCAGGACGUAGAGAGCAGGAGUCAGAGUAGCAUGCCGAGAGAAGAAAGAGCAACUGAGGAGGAUAUUAGGAUGAGGCCUAAAAAGGAGCAUCCAUAUGCUGAAAUAGGACCGAUAAACAGAGACUCACAGACUGAAAGACUUCUCAUGGCAUGGAGAGAGAAAAGUAAAGAAGACGUGGAAAUUGAGCAGGAGCAACCUUCACCUUCACUACCGAGAAAUCCCUACGCUGAUGUUUUUUCUCAAGUGAAUUUUGAACAAAUUCAACCAAUCUUGGAUGGACUUAAAACUGCCGUGAUGAGCCCAGAGGAGGUGGAGGCCAUCCGGAUCCGACUGAGCGGGGCGUGGACCAUGUCCGAUGAGCCCAAGCGACAUUCCCAAGCCCCCCACCUUAAAUGGGCCAAAAAUGUGGUGCGGGAGAUCCUGGGACGUUCUGAGGAUAACACUGUGGAUGAAGCAAAUGAACAUGCAGACCAAGGGGUCAACCAGACAGCGAUGGAGUACGAAGAACAACAAGAGGUUGCACAAGAGCCUGGAGAGACGCCCGUUGUUAAGUUGAGAACAGACGAACAGCACUCAGAACCAGAGCUGGGGGAGGAGGAGCCGCUGGAGGAAGAGGGACUGAGAGGUAUGGGGCAGAGCCAAGCCGACAUGCAUGCUGACCAGUUCUCAGCUAUGCAUGGUGACACACCAACACACACUCAUGCUGACACAUUGUUAGACACAGAAGGGAAGGAGGAUCAGAGUAUGGACAAAGAGACUGAGCCCUCUGUUCACCUUCAGUUAGAAGAGGCGGAUACAGAGGUGAAAAUUAGUAAACAGGUCGAAUUAUCAGAAAGGGAAAAAGAAGCGCGAAAGAGGAGAGAGAAGGAAGUGGAGAUGUAUUUAUCCGUGAGCAACACGCUGUACAAGCCGAACAGCUGCCCCAUUCUUAAUUAUGAGCCUGAGUCUGCCUCCGGAGAUAGUGAGGGCCAGGAGGUGGAAGACAGAAUGGUUGAAAGUGAAGAAGAGAGGCAGGGAGAGGAACCUGAGGAGAGGGGUGUUUCAGAGGAUGGGGGAGAGAUGAAGGAGGGAGAGGGAACUGAGUUGGAUAGCAGAGAGGGAGAGGUGGCGGAAGAAAAUAAAGUAAAAGCGGGGACUCUGAUGAGCACCUGCAGUUUCCGAGAUUUGGGUCCUGAGGCUCGUAUACGAAGAAGGGGAAUCCGUAAAACAACUGAAAGAAGAAAUGGAGAGCAUGUAGAAGUGGAGGAAGCGGAAGGUGUUGGAAGGGAUCGCAGGACCAGAAUAUUCUCUACAACAGAUGAUGAAGAUGAUCGGAGCAAAAGUUGGGGAGAAGUAGAGCUGAGGAAUGUUUUGGAAACAAUCGACAGACGUAGAAGGAACUCAAGGUUCUUCAGUGAGUAUCUCUGUUUCAGUUUUGUUAUAAUUUUGUAUUCGUCAUUAGUUUUGAUUUCAUUUUUAAUUUUGUUUUCAGUUUAG
ensembl:lncRNA